CACCCUAUGCUUUCCCUUCUCUUUUUCCUCGGUCUCGAGUUGGGUGCGCAGAGGUGUUAACCAGAGGCUUCCCCGGGGUCGAAUCGGCGGUCGAACAGAAUCCCGCCCACAGCCGCACUCGUCCCCCUUCUCUUUUUCCUUGGUCUCGAGUUGGGAGCGCAGAGGUGUUAACCAGAGGCUUGGAGCACGACUUAUAGCCCGAGGCUGUUACAGACCCUCAUCUGGCAGACUUGGCCGUUGCAACCGACCCACCGAUCCAUCCAGGGAAGGUGGAAACUCUGUCAGGACUUGUUCGGUUAAUC
rnacentral:lncRNA from 7 species